UGCCAGCCGCCGCGGUAAGACGAACCGUCCAAACGUUAAUCGGAAUCACUGGGCUUAAAGCGUACGUAGGCGGGUGCGCAGGCAUCUUGUGAAAUCCCUCGGCUCAACCGAGGAACUGCAGGGUGAACCACGCAUCUUGAGACGAGUAGGGGCUGUCGGAACGCUAGGUGGAGUGGUGAAAUGCGUUGAUAUCUAGCGGAACGCCGAAGGAGAAAUCAGGCAGCUGGGCUUGUUCUGACGCUGAGGUACGAAAGCGUGGGGAGCGAACGGGAUUAGAUA
rnacentral:rRNA from 1 species